rnacentral:rRNA from 1 species
UACGGAGGGGCGUAGCGUUGUUCGGAAUUACUGGGCGGUAAAGACGCACGUAGGCGGCUUGAAAAGUUAGGAGGUGAAAGCCCAGAGCUCAACUCUGGAAUUGCCUUCAAAACUCUCAAGCUAGAGUUCGGAAGAGGAGAGUGGAAUUCCCAGUGUAGAGGUGAAAUUCGUAGAUAUUGGGAAGAACACCAGUGGCGAAGGCGGCUCUCUGGUCCGAUACUGACGCUGAGGUGCGAAAGCGUGGGGANCAAACA